rnacentral:rRNA from 1 species
UAGUUUGAUCCUGGCUCAGGACGAACGCUGGCGGCGUGCUUAACACAUGCAAGUCGAAGGCGUGGAGCAAUCCACGACUGGCGAACGGGUGCGUAACACGUGAGCGAUCUACCCUGGUGUGGGGGAUAGCCGGCCCAACGGCCGGGUAAUACCGCAUGGGUUCUUUUGGAGGCAUCUCUGGGAGAACAAAGCCUUCGGGCGCACUGGGAGGGGCUCGCGGCCUAUCAGCUGGUUGGCGGGGUAAUGGCCCACCAAGGCGACGACGGGUAGCUGGUCUGAGAGGAUGGCCAGCCACAUUGGGACUGAGAGACGGCCCAGACUCCUACGGGAGGCAGCAGUGGGGAAUCUUGCGCAAUGGGCGAAAGCCUGACGCAGCGACGCCGCGUGCGGGAGGACGGCCUUCGGGUCGUAAACCGCUGUUGCCCGGGACGAAAAGCCCUUUCGAGGGCGUUGACGGUACCGGGUGAGGAAGCACCGGCUAACUCCGUGCCAGCAGCCGCGGUAAUACGGAGGGUGCGAGCGUUGUCCGGAAUCACUGGGCGUAAAGGGCGCGUAGGCGGCCCGAGGAGUCGGGGGUGAAAGUCCGGGGCUCAACCCCGGAUCGGCCUUCGAGACUCUCGGGCUCGAGCACAGUAGAGGCGGGUGGAAUUCCGGGUGUAGCGGUGGAAUGCGUAGAGAUCCGGAAGAACACCGGUGGCGAAGGCGGCCCGCUGGGCUGUGGCUGACGCUGAGGCGCGACAGCGUGGGGAGCAAACAGGAUUAGAUACCCUGGUAGUCCACGCCGUAACGAUGGGCACUAGGUGCCUGGGGGAGCGACCCCCUGGGUGCCGGCGCUAACGCAUUAAGUGCCCCGCCUGGGGAGUACGGCCGCAAGGCUGAAACUCAAAGGAAUUGACGGGGGCCCGC